AUUGAACGCUGGCGGCAGGCCUAACACAUGCAAGUCGAACGAGUGGCGGACGGGUGAGUAAUGUCUGGGAAAGUGCCUGAUGGAGGGGGAUAACUACUGGAAACGGUAGCUAAUACCGCAUACCAUGGGAUGUCCCCAGAUGGGAUGCGCUAGUAGGUGGGGUAACGGCACACCUAGGACACGAUCCCUAACUGGUCUGAGAGGAUGACCAGCCACACUGGAACUGAGACACGGUCCAGACUCCCACGGGAGGCAGCAGUGGGGAAUAUUGCACAAUGGGCGCAAGCCUGAUGCAGCCAUGCCGCGUGUAUGAAGAAGGCCUUCGGGUUUUAAAGUACUUUCAGCGGGGAGGCGUUACCCGCAGAAGAAGCACCGGCUAACUCCGUGCCAGCAGCCGCGGUAAUUC
rnacentral:rRNA from 1 species